rnacentral:rRNA from 1 species
UACGUAGGGGGCAAGCGUUGUCCGGAUUUACUGGGCGUAAAGAGCGUGUAGGCGGCCACGCAGGUCCGUUGUGAAAACUGGAGGCUCAACCUUCAGACGUCGACGGAAACCGUAUGGCUAGAGUCCGGAAGAGGAGAGUGGAAUUCCUGGUGUAGCGGUGAAAUGCGCAGAUAUCAGGAAGAACACCAAUGGCGAAGGCAGCUCUCUGGGACGGUACUGACGCUGAGACGCGAAAGCCAGGGGAGCAAACGGG